GACGGAGGGGGCUAGCGUUGUUCGGAAUUACUGGGCGUAAAGAGCAUGUAGGCGGAUUAGUAAGUUGGAAGUGAAAGCCCGGGGCUUAACCUCGGAAUAGCUUUCAAAACUACUAGUCUAGAGUGUAGUAGGGGAUGAUGGAAUUCCUAGUGUAGAGGUGAAAUUCUUAGAUAUUAGGAGGAACACCGGUGGCGAAGGCGGUCAUCUGGGCUACAACUGACGCUGAGAUGCGAAAGCGUGGGGAGCAAACAGG
rnacentral:misc_RNA from 1 species